rnacentral:sRNA from 1 species
GGCGGAAAACCGAAGUCAGAAGGCUGUCUUAGCAGCACGCGGAGACGAAAGGGGUGCCAGCAUCAUGGCAGAACAGGAUGUGGAAAACGAUCUUUUGGAUUACGAUGAAGAGGAAGAGCCCCAGGCUCCUCAAGAGAGCACACCGGCUCCCCCUAAGAAAGACAUCAAGGGAUCCUACGUUUCCAUCCACAGCUCUGGCUUCCGGGACUUUCUGCUGAAGCCGGAGCUCUUGCGGGCCAUCGUGGACUGUGGCUUUGAGCAUCCGUCUGAGGUCCAGCAUGAGUGCAUUCCCCAGGCCAUCCUGGGCAUGGACGUCCUGUGCCAGGCCAAGUCCGGGAUGGGCAAGACAGCGGUCUUCGUGCUGGCCACCCUACAGCAGAUUGAGCCUGUCAACGGACAGGUGACAGUCCUGGUCAUGUGCCACACAAGGGAGCUGGCCUUCCAGAUCAGCAAGGAAUAUGAGCGCUUCUCCAAGUACAUGCCCAGCGUCAAGGUGUCUGUGUUCUUUGGUGGUCUCUCCAUCAAGAAGGAUGAAGAAGUGUUGAAGAAGAACUGUCCCCAUGUCGUGGUGGGGACCCCAGGCCGCAUCCUGGCGCUUGUGCGGAAUAGGAGCUUCAGCCUAAAGAAUGUGAAGCACUUUGUGCUGGACGAGUGUGACAAGAUGCUGGAGCAGCUGGGCUCCCCUCCCUGAAGCGUGGCUCGAGGCGCACGGGCACGGCUGCUCCGCGCCAGCGCACAUGCGGCGGGAUGUGCAGGAGAUCUUCCGCCUGACACCACAUGAGAAGCAGUGCAUGAUGUUCAGCGCCACCCUGAGCAAGGACAUCCGGCCUGUGUGCAGGAAGUUCAUGCAGGAUGUGAGUAGGGCGAGAGUGGCAGCUUCGGCCUUCCCCAGGGGCCUGGAGCCUGGGGCCCCAGGACACCCGCACGGCCCACAUGGCACGGAGGAUGCUGGGAUGCUGGGAGCCGGCGGAGCCUCCUUUCCUCCCCUCGGUCUUGUCAAACUGGGAGUCAAGCUUGGUCCACACCUGAGCCGGGCCAGAGCUUACAUCCAGCUUUUGAGCGAUGUUUACUGAGGUCUGGUGCAGCAGGUCCUCUGGGAAGUGUCGCACAAAGGAGUCGCCCACUGGAAGGUUCUGGGCAGGCGAGAUGCCCAGAGGUGAUCCCUGCCCGCCCAUCCCACCUCCCUUCCCACACAGCCCAUGGAGGUGUUUGUGGACGACGAGACCAAGCUCACGCUGCACGGCCUGCAGCAGUACUACGUCAAACUCAAAGACAGUGAGAAGAACCGCAAGCUCUU